rnacentral:rRNA from 1 species
UACGUAGGGUGCAAGCGUUGUCCGGAAUUAUUGGGCGUAAAGAGUUCGUAGGCGGUUUGUCACGUCGGCUGUGAAAACCCGAGGCUCAACCUCGGGCCUGCAGUCGAUACGGGCAGACUAGAGUAUGGCAGGGGAGACUGGAAUUCCUGGUGUAGCGGUGAAAUGCGUAGAUAUCUGGAGGAACACCGGUGGCGAAGGCGGCACCCUGGACCGGCAUUGACGCUGAGGCGCGAAAGCCAGGGGAGCAAACGGG